rnacentral:rRNA from 1 species
CCUACGGGGGGCAGCAGUGAGGAAUAUUGGUCAAUGGGCGCGAGCCUGAACCAGCCAAGUCGCGUGAGGGAUGACGGUCCUACGGAUUGUAAACCUCUUUUGCCGGGGAGCAAGCGUGCGUUCGUGAACGCGCGUCGAGAGUACCCGGAGAAAAAGCAUCGGCUAACUCCGUGCCAGCAGCCGCGGGAAUACGGAGGAUGCGAGCGUUACCCGGUUUUAUUGGGUUUAAAGGGUGCGUAGGCGGGAUGCAAAGUUAGCGGUAAAAUUGAGGUGCUCAACGUCGUCGCGCGGUUGAAACUGGCGUCCUUGAGUGGGCGAGAGGUAUGCGGAAUGCGUGGUGUAGCGGUGAAAUGCAUAGAUAUCACGCAGAACUCCGAUUGCGAAGGCAGCAUGCCGGCGCCCUACUGACGCUGAGGCACGAAAGCGUGGGUAUCGAACAGGAUUAGAUACCCCAGUAGUC